rnacentral:tRNA from 1 species
CUGAGCGCUAGUGUAAACCAAUGCACAUGUAAAUUUGGAUUACAGGGAGGAAGUAACUACAUCCGCUCUCAGA